GAAGGUGGAGGAAGAUCAGAUACUGAUGGAGGUUCUCGGGUCUUGAUUGACUCCAGGAUGAAGCCUCAGCAUGCAGCCAGAAGUCAUUUCCACUGCUGCUGCAUCCAGCGAGAACAGUCAUUCAUAUCCUGGAGCUCAUCUAGUUUCUGCCUGUAACUGAGGUUGUGGUGAUGGGUCCUGGUCCCUGUGGAGAGGCUGGAGCAGCUCCAUGAAGCCAUCACCAUGAUGUUUGAGGAGUUCAGCUUCUCAUCGCUGACAUGGAGGGAAGGUUUGAGUCUGAAAUCAAGCACAAGUGUUUGUAUUACGUGGUGGUUUGUAAAUCUUUCUCUUCAUGCAGUGCAUCGUUUUUGUAUAAUUCCGUACUUUUCUAUAUUUGUGGCUUUUUUAUAAACAUUCGUACCUUUUCUCCUUA